ACGGUGGUGACGUACUUCUUUGCAUCGCCAUACGGAAUAUGUUGACUAUGGAAUGUAAAGAAGUAUGUAACUCCUGA
rnacentral:pre_miRNA from 1 species